UAAGGGGAUUUCCCUAGUAGCGGCGAGCGAAGCGGGAAGAGCUCAAAUUUAUAAUCUGGCACCUUCGGUGUCCGAGUUGUAAUCUCUAGAAGUGUUUUCCGCGUUGGACCGCACACAAGUCUGUUGGAAUACAGCGGCAUAGUGGUGAAACCCCCGUAUAUGGUGCGGACGCCCAGCGCUUUGUGAUACACUUUCAAUGAGUCGAGUUGUUUGGGAAUGCAGCUCAAAUUGGGUGGUAAAUUCCAUCUAAAGCUAAAUAUUGGCGAGAGACCGAUAGCGAACAAGUACCGUGAGGGAAAGAUGAAAAGCACUUUGGAAAGAGAGUUAACAGUACGUGAAAUUGUUGGAAGGGAAACGCUUGAAGUCAGACUUGCUUGCCGGAGCUUGCUUCGGUUUGCAGGCCAGCAUCAGUUUUCCGGGGUGGAUAAUGACGGUUUGAAGGUAGCAGUCUCGGCUGUGUUAUAGCUUUCCGUUGGAUACAUCCUGGGGGACUGAGGAACGCAGCGUGCUUUUUGCGAAAGACUCGUCUUUUUCACGCUUAGGAUGCUGGUGGAAUGGCUUUAAACGACCCGUCUUGAAACACGGACACAAAA
rnacentral:rRNA from 1 species